rnacentral:rRNA from 1 species
UACGGGGGGGGUAAGCGUUGUUCGGAAUCACUGGGCGUAAAGGGCUCGUAGGUGGCCAACUAAGUCAGACGUGAAAUCCCUCAGCUUAACUGGGGAACUGCGUCUGAUACUGGAUGGCUUGAGUUUGGGAGAGGGAUGCGGAAUUCCAGGUGUAGCGGUGAAAUGCGUAGAUAUCUGGAGGAACACCGGUGGCGAAGGCGGCAUCCUGGACCAAUACUGACACUGAGGAGCGAAAGCCAGGGGAGCAAACGGG